UGAACGCUGGCGGCGUGCCUAAUACAUGCAAGUCGAGCGAACAGACGAGGAGCUUGCUCCUCUGACGUUAGCGGCGGACGGGUGAGUAACACGUGGAUAACCUACCUAUAAGACUGGGAUAACUUCGGGAAACCGGAGCUAAUACCGGAUAAUAUAUUGAACCGCAUGGUUCAAUAGUGAAAGACGGUUUUGCUGUCACUUAUAGAUGGAUCCGCGCCGCAUUAGCUAGUUGGUAAGGUAACGGCUUACCAAGGCGACGAUGCGUAGCCGACCUGAGAGGUGAUCGGCCACACUGGAACUGAGACACGGUCCAGACUCCUACGGGAGGCAGCAGUAGGGAAUCUUCCGCAAUGGGCGAAAGCCUGACGGAGCAACGCCGCGUGAGUGAUGAAGGUCUUCGGAUCGUAAAACUCUGUUAUUAGGGAAGAACAAAUGUGUAAGUAACUAUGCACGUCUUGACGGUACCUAAUCAGAAAGCCACGGCUAACUACGUG
rnacentral:rRNA from 1 species